rnacentral:misc_RNA from 1 species
UUGAAAACUAGGGUGUUCAAUUUAACUUGGAACCCAACCUUCUCAAUUCUAACUUUGUGCAUCUGUAUAAUGGCGAGCGGUCUUCGGACUGUGAGCCUUUACUCAUAAAACACUAGUCUAUGAAUGUAAAAUUUUUAUAACAAAUAA